GUUUGUGUGGAUUCUGUGUGUGCUCAUUUGCAUGUUGAAACAUCCUUUCAUUGCUGAGAUAAACACAACUAUUCACCACAAGGAAAGCAGAGUCUUCACCCGUUAUUGAAGAAGCUUCUUUUUGCGUCAGAGACCAUCACAGAAAUUGACAACUGAUCAAAACCCACAGAACAACUGACCAUAAAUGCCCAUACCCAAACAAGUUUUAAAACUGUAUAAGAAACCAUUAUAGAAGAAGGGGAGAAAAUAUUGUAAGAACCAGAAGAAUAUGAUAACUUGAUACAAAA